CAGCAUGUAAAACGGUUUGCACAGGGUAAAAUGAUGCCGUUUUAUUUUUUUUUUUGAAGUCACUCUUAAGCCCCCUCCCCCCCGGCGCUGAGUCCUCUCUGUCACCCUCUCAAAAUUCAAACCCUAGAUCUAGUGGCCCACAGGAUGGCUUCCCAACCACCCCCGCAAGCCAACGUCUAAACGUCCAAACGAUGUCCUCUCUCUCUCUUCUCCCUAGCCACCCAUCUUUCCCAAAACAAUAAAAAAUCAAUUCUAAGUUUCUAACCCUAGGCGUGCCUCCCCCCUCCCUAACCGCUGCACGACCUCUCUCUCAAAGUCCCAAUUGUGAUCGCAGAAGUCCACGACCUCUCUCUCAGAGUCCCACCACACGAACAAGGUUCAUGAUUUUGCAAUUUGGCUAGAAAAAGAAGCUGUGUCAGGAUCGGCAUAUGAUGAGCAGGAUGAACCGUUGGCUUUAGAUGGUUAAGGAGGAGUCCAAUCUAGAAAGGAGGCUGGACUUGAUUUGAACUUUCGUAGCAACGGCUUUAUAAACUAUAGAGCAUAUGCGAGAGUUAGUUUGACUAUAUUGAUUCUCUUUUAUGGAGAUUCUGUGUCUCACGUUAUAUUGAACUCAAGUGGACCUCUUAAGUGAGGAAGUACCUAUUUAUGGUUUAUAAAUUAUUGGGAUGUUUAGUUUA